GCGAAAUAUCUGGAUCGGCGCGGGGUAGAUAGGGGUGGUUUCGACUUUUCCGUUGUUGGUCGGUGCGGCCGACUCGGUGGUGGCGCGCCAUUAGCCGAGGGGAGGAGCUCGCACUGUGCGGCGCACUAUAGCCACGCACGUCGUCGCAGCGAAGAGACCCUCGCCCUCACUUUCCCCUCGCCUCUUCCGCUUCGCCGUCGUCGUCCUCUCAUCUCCGCCCUCGUCAGCGAGGAUGGCUUGCUUCGACAUCGCCUCCUCCCAUCACCUCAGUCCCGGCAGCGCUCGGCGUCGUUGGCCUUCGGCCAUUAGGCCACGGAGGGAGCUUUCACUGUGCUAGGGGAUGUUGCGGCGCUGCGAGGUUUCUUUGGCCGACCGUCUCACUUUCAUCUCGCGGCUUCCGCUUCGCCCUCACCAUCCUCGCUUCUUCGUCUCGUCGUUUGCAAGCUACAGUCUGCAGAUCAGCCGUCCUCCGCCACAUCCACGCAGCCCACGUCUUCGGGGUGGCCGGCGCUGCCAUGGCGGCGCUCUGCCGUGGGUUUGAUUAAGGUCAUCGCUGUCCUAGGAUUGCCGCAUCGGUUGGCCGCGGCUGCUCUAGUCGAUCUAUUGUCCAACUGCGUUCUUGAUUAUCUGCUGGGACUAUGUGUGAGCUGCUGCUGGAAUUUUUUGGUGAACUUUCUCAGCUGUUUGAGAAGUAGAUAAUUUCAGUGUCCUUUUUGCUGAUGAAGAACAGUGAUGUUCUGUUGAUUAAGAACAAGAGAAGGGGUCCUUUAGCAUGCCAACGAAUUAUCUCCAGAUUUGCAUUCUUUGCCUAUAUCGUCUCUGUCAACAGCUCGAGCACGGCAAACAAGACUUAAAGACAUGGUCAGGACAUUAGUAAUCAUCUCCCCCUAAUCAUGAUUUAUGUCAUUUUCCUCUAUUUAGUUCCCACAUGUCAUGGUGUCUUUUUAUUUGAUUAGGUUUGUGAUACCUGCCGGCCAUUUGAUCCAGAAAUUUAUUUAUGGAGCUCUUGGUGUAGCUGCCUAUUGCUCUAUCUAGAAAAUUGAUUCCAUAUAUUUCUACACUUUUUAUCGAAAAAUAUAUUUAUACACGUUAGUCAUUUGUAUGGUGCAGGUUCAUGAACAAUAAAUGGUUGUAGAAUGAUUCCAUAUUUUCUCUGAUUGAGUUCCCAAUUUAUACAUGUUUUGAUUAUUUAUGUUUCAGCCUAAUUUAUUCACGAGGUCUUGAAAGUUUUCCAUGGGGCCACGGCGGCAUCCGUUGCGCAGCUGCAGCAGGGAGGGCGGACGGGCAACCGGCCGCCCCAAGGUCCACCCAGCCAACUCCCAUUUGUGGCCUGCCCGUGAGGAGGAUCACGAGGAGCACGGGAGGCCGCCGCCAUCCCCGGCCCCAUAGCAAUGGGCAGCAUUGGCGCUCGCCCAAGGGGUGGAUUUGGCGUGAACGAACUGCAAUUUGGGGUCAGGUCCGUGUGUAGAUUGUUGGAUCAGUAGGGACUGGGCACCACCGCUCUGCAAGCUCGACCUCCCUCCACCUCUCCUCAACUUCAUCCUUGGGAGGCUUCCUCAUGCUGGACUCAGCUUGUACCAAGGCCUGCUAGGACGAAGAUCAUGUUGCAUGACCAUUUUGAGAGAAACAACAAGAUUCUUACUAGAGGAAGAGAUAUGAAUAUAUGGGCACGGAACAGUUUGUUACCUUUCUGUGGGCGUAAGUGGUCCAUAUGGAUCUUGAAUACAUCAUACUAUGCCUCCAAAAAAUAUUGUUGUGCACUUUUAGAUUCGCCAUUUGGGUACUGUCAAAUUACUAAGCACAACUGUUUAUGAAAAUCUGGAGUCCGAUGUUAAUUUACGCUUCAAACAUUGUUAUUUCAGCGUUUCUUUUGUAAGGACGUAGAUGCACACUUACUGAUUAUAUUAGUGAACAAAAUAUGUGGCAAGGAGCCAGCCAAGACACAUGUAAGCUAACAUUUGGCGUCGCUCUGUUCCCUAGGUUAUAUAAAUAGAAGAUGGAGACAUCCCCAAGGUCCCAACAGUACAACCAGGUUGUGAGUUUGUUUUGGGUGAACUAACACACUGGGAUCUUCAUUAGUCAUUUUGAUUUACUUUAGUUUCUGAAUUUCAUCUGGUUUGUCCUUUGCUCCAUAUCUCUACAAAUAUUUUUCUCAACCUUUACCGACAUCAAUAUAUCUUAUGGGCAUAGGGAAGUGGUAUGUCGCCCACAAGCUUGGGGCAAAUAGGCUGGCUACGGAUUAAAAACAAACUUGAGUAAAAGAAAUAGAAAAUGAAAAAGGUUAUCCAGCUCACUAUAACCAGUUAUACCAUUACGAGUUCUGUAUUCACAUCAUGGGUGUGAAUGUAUUCUCUGUUUAUGCAGAUUAGUUUGUUGCUAGAGUUUAUAGAUCAGUUGCAAACAAUUUAUUUGGGUGGACUAAAGAAAACGAGUUUAUUUUAAUAUCAAUUGCUACAUGCUCUAUAUAUUUGUGG